rnacentral:rRNA from 1 species
GAAUUCGUGAUUACUCCUACGGGAGGCAGCAGUARGGAAUAUUGCGCAAUGGGGGCAACCCUGACGCAGCAAUGCCSCGUGRGKGAAGAAGGCCUUCGGGUCGUAAAGCUCUUUUAUGGGGGAAGAUGAUGACGGUACCCCAUGAAUAAGCACCGGCUAACUACGUGCCAGCAGCCGCGGUAAUACGUAGGGUGCGAGCGUUGUUCGGAAUUACUGGGCGUAAAGGGCGUGCAGGCGGAUUGGCAAGCCGGAGGUGAAAGCCCGGGGCUCAACCCCGGAGGGUCUUUCGGAACUGCCAGUCUUGAGAGGGUCAGGGGCCAGCGGAAUUCCUGGUGUAGAGGUGAAAUUCGUAGAGAUCAGGAGGAACACCGGCGGCGAAAGCGGCUGGCUGGGGCCACUCUGACGCUGAGGCGCGAAAGCGUGGGGAGCAAACAGGAUUAGAUACCCUGGUAGUCCACGCCGUAAACGAUGGGCACUAAGCGUCCGACGGGUUCGACCCUGUUGGGUGCUGCAGUUAACGCGUUAAGUGCCCCGCCUGGGGAGUACGGUCGCAAGACUAAAACUCAAAGGAAUUGACGGA